rnacentral:rRNA from 1 species
UACGUAGGGUGCGAGCGUUAAUCGGAAUUACUGGGCGUAAAGCGUGCGCAGGCGGUUUUGUAAGCCAGAUGUGAAAUCCCCGGGCUUAACCUGGGAACUGCGCUUGUAACUGGCAAGCUAGAGUGUGGCAGAGGGGGGUGGAAUUCCAGGUGUAGCAGUGAAAUGCGUAGAGAUCUGGAGGAACACCGAUGGCGAAGGCAGCCCCCUGGGCUAACACUGACGCUCAUGCCCGAAAGCGUGGGGAGCAAACAGG